AUUGAACGCUGGCGGCAUGCCUUACACAUGCAAGUCGAACGGUAACAGGUCUUCGGAUGCUGACGAGUGGCGAACGGGUGAGUAAUGCAUCGGAACGUGCCCAGUUGUGGGGGAUAACUGCUCGAAAGAGCAGCUAAUACCGCAUACGACCUGAGAGUGAAAGCGGGGGGUCGCAAGACCUCGCGCAAUUGGAGCGGCCGAUGUCAGAUUAGGUAGUUGGUGGGGUAAAGGCCUACCAAGCCGACGAUCUGUAGUUGGUCUGAGAGGACGACCAGCCACACUGGGACUGAGACACGGCCCAGACUCCUACGGGAGGCGGCAGUGGGGAAUUUUGGACAAUGGGCGCAAGCCUGAUCCAGCAAUGCCGCGUGCAGGAAGAAGGCCUUCGGGUUGUAAACUGCUUUUGUCAGGGAAGAAAUCCUCUGGGUUAAUACCCCGGGGGGAUGACGGUACCUGAAGAAUAAGCACCGGCUAACUACGUGCCAGCAGCCGCCGUAACAC
rnacentral:rRNA from 1 species